UGAGUAGGCCAGAUGAUCGCGGCCAUAUCGUAAGGGUAUGGGUGAGGAAAGUCCGGGCUUCAGAGGGCAGGAUGCCGGAUAACGUCCGGUGGAGGUGACUCCCAGGAAAGUGCAACAGAAAUUAAACCGCCGGGUUUCCCGGUAAGGGUGAAAUGGCAGUGUAAGAGACUACCGCCCAUCUGGUAACAGAUGGGGCAUGUGUAAACCCCAUCCGAAGCAAGGCCAAAUAAGCGCCUGCGGGCGCGGGGGAGCAAUAGAUCUGCCCGAUCUGCUCCCAGGUAGGUCGCUUGAGAUUGUCGGUAACGGCAAUUCUAGAUAGAUGAUCAUCCAACGACAUAACCCGGCUUACCGGCCUACUCGUUUU
rnacentral:RNase_P_RNA from 1 species